UGGUCUGCCGAAACUCACAAGAUUCUGCACCACUAACUUGCUUGAAUGCCACUCCCUGAAAGUGCUGACGUUACUGAAAUGCCCUGAACUGAAGGAAUUUAUUUCCAACCCAUCAAGUGCGGAUGUCCCUGCCAUGAGCAAACCUGACGACACAAAAUCAGCUCUCUUCGAUGACAAGGUGAUUUUAUUUCAAAAGCAUGCUUAAUUUGUGAUAUUUUGUUUCUAUGUUUUACCCCAAAGGUGAUAUUUUGUUAUGGGCGUUGGCAAUCUAUUAACAGAAUGGAAUUGUUACUGCAGGUUGCAUUCCCUGACUUGGAGCUAUUUCGAAUUGUCGAAAUGGAUAAUUUGAAGGUGAUAUGGCACAGUGAACUCCAUUCUAAUUCCUUUUGCAAACUGAAGACACUGCGUGUUUGGAGUGUAAAGAAUUUACUGAAUAUUUUCCCUUCCAGUAUGCUGAGAAGAUUCCUUAAUCUAGAGAAUCUGACUAUAACUCGUUGUGAUUCAGUAGAAGAGAUUUUUGAUCUCCAAGCGCUCAUAAAUGUGGAACAAAGACUUGCUGUUACAGCCACUCAAUUGAGAGUUGUGCGUCUAAGGAAUCUUCCACAGCUGAAGCAUGUUUGGAAUAGGGAUCCACAAGGAAUUCUUUCCUUUCAUAACCUAAGUACUGUGCAUGCCGAGGGAUGUCCUGGUCUAAGAAGUCUCUUCCCUGCCUCUAUAGCCCUAAACCUUCCACAACUUGAAGAGCUUGAGAUAGAUACUUGUGGAGUGGAGGAAAUUGUUGCAAAGGAUGAAGGACUAGAAGAAGGUCCUGAGUUUUUGUUUCCUAAAGUUACCGAUCUGCUGCUUCGGGAAUUACCAGAACUAAAGAGAUUCUAUCCAGGAAUACAUACAUCAGAAUGGCCGAGGUUGAAAAGGCUCUGGGUGUUUGACUGUGAGAAAAUUGAAAUAUUUCCUUCAGAAAUGAAGUGCUCUCACGAACCAAGCAGGGAGGACCACAUGGACAUCGAAGGUCAGCAACAACUUCUCUCAUUUAGGAAGGUAUGAUCCUCACCCCUAUUCCACGUACGUACACGCUCCACAUCUUUCUAAUUUUCACAUAAACUUUCAUUAGACCGUUAUUAUCACAACUAGAAUCUUACGUUCAUUACUAGCAAUGCAAAAUCAGUGUUGUAUAUUAAAGAUUAUCUCACUCACCUAUAAAAUAUAAAAGUAAAAUAAAUACUAGGUAAAAGACUCAAAAAUUCUAUUAAAAAUCAUUAGAAAUACCUAUAACAAAUAUACAAAAUAUAAUAAAUAAAUAAAAACCAAAUAAAAGAUUCCAAUGCAUAAUAGACACCAGGUUUAGUCUCCUAAUUUUAGGGAUUAAAACGAUAAUUUUUCCAAAAACAGGGACCACAAUGUAAUCUUACCAAAAUUGGAUGACCACACUAUAAUUAUCAGAAAUACAUAACCAUAUUGAAAUUUCACCAUAAUCCAUAUUAAAUUCUGUCCAGAAUCUCAAUUUACAUUUUAGGAACCAAACUAUAAUUUUUUUCAAAGUGUAGGGACUAAAUUAUAAAUCUCCAAAAUAGAGGGACUAAACUAAAAAUUACACAAUUCAAUAAUUGAACAGAGGUUCAUCAUUCUUAAUCUCAUAAGAAUACUAUUCAAAAUUACACAAUUUAAUUAUUGAACAGAGGUUCAUCAUUCUUAAUCUCAUAAGAAUACUGUUCAAAAUUCCAAAAUACAUUUCAGAGGUCAAAUUAUUAUUUUCUAAAGUUGAGGGACUAAACUCUAGUUUUCAUUAAUUAAGAACCAAAAUAAAAUUUCAUCAUCUUCAACCUUGAGACCAUUCUGACAUGAUUUUCUAGCAAAGUUUAAUAAAUUUCUUAACCCAUAACAAAUCAAUUAAAUAGAUCAAUUAACAAAUUCAACACACUGAAAAUCAAUCACUAAAUUUUAAAUUCAUAAUAAUCAUGAAACAAUCUUAUUGUUAUGAUCACUGUUAUGAUUAAUUAUGUUUCUAUUCAAGCAAGGUGAAUUUGGUUGACAUCCCAAUAUUUGGUGAAUUAAUGAAGCAUGAUGACUUCUUUUGAGGGAUACAUAUGUUGUAUGAUGUGUUCAAUCUAAAAGCCACUGCCCCUCUGCGAAAAAAGAAUUCUUAUUGAAAGAUUGACAAAGCUUUUGCAUUCAUAACAUAACAAAACUGAAGCCAGAGCUCACGUGGCACAAUUCAUUUAGUCAAGUGUUCAGUUGAUCUUUCUAUGCACAGCCUAUAAACUUGUUAAGAAAACGUCAAGUCAAGCAUGCUUUCUUUUGAUUGGUUUUCAGAUCUUCCCCAACUUGGAGAAUUUAGGUUUGGAAGGAAAGGAUGCAUCGGCAUUAUUGAAAUGUCCUCAAUACUUCUUUCACAAACUCAAAGUUCUCCAUCUGUAUCGCUUUGGUGAUGCACAUGCAACUUUUCUAUUUGAUCUCCUUCCAAGGUUCCCUAAUAUGGAAAGACUUGAUGUGAAACGUGGUACGUUCAAAGAGUUGCUCCCGUCUAGACUUGAUGGUAUGGAGGAGCAUGCAACAGUUCUUCCACCGAUACGACACUUAGGGUUGUAUUCUCUUCCUUGCCUAGAGCAUUUAUGGAAGAGCAAUUCCCAACUGGACCAAGCUCUGCAGACUCUUGAAGCUCUAAGGGUAUGGAAUUGCGGCAGUUUGAUUUAUUUAGCUCCAUCGCGUGCUUCUUUCCAAAAUCUAACAAGUUUGGAUGUGUGGAAUUGCGAAAGAUUAGUAAAAUUGGUGACAUCCACAACAGCAAAAAGUCUGGCGCAACUCACAAUAAUGAGUAUAUCGGACUGCAUUAUGGUUACCGAAAUAGUAGCAAACGAGGGAGAGGGAAUAAAAGAUGAGAUUGUCUUCAGCAAAUUAGAAAGAUUAUUGCUUAAUGAUUUACCAAGCCUAACUAGCUUUUGCUCAGAAAAACACAGCUUUGAUUUCCCAUCUCUGGUGCAAGUAACUGUCAGGCAAUGUCCUGGGAUGAAGUUUUUCUCCAACGGAGCACUGAGCACUCCCAAGCUGCGGAGAGUUAAAUUGACUGAAGGGGACAAGAAAGGAUCCUGGGUUGGAAAUCUUAACACCACAAUACAACAGUUGUCUGCACAAACGGUAAGUACCGAUCAAUCAUUCCAUUUUCUGCAAACCAUUAAUCUCAAGCUUUUACUAUGACUCACUGUUAUAUUUCUUUCCUGAUGUCGAAAAACAAGUCAAUAACACCUAUACAUUAAUUAUUUUGCGUUAAAAAAAAUAGUUAAUAUACAAUGAGACAAGUCGAAUUGACGCAUGAACACUUUAUUUUUUACAUUUAUUGACACAAAUAGUUAAAGUAUUUAAUUAAAUGCAUGCGUAAAUCUUUUGAUUUAUAAUUAGAAUUUAAAUAAAAAUAAAAACAUAUUUGAAAAGCUUGUAUAUUUUUUUUUGUUAAAAAACAUUAUCCUACCUGUGAUAAACCCUAGUCCUGAUCCAGAGGGAGAACUGCAAAUUAACACCUUGACAUUUGCAGGAAGGCUUUUCAGCACCAAUACUACUAACACUAAUAUUGGGAUGAUUUGUAAGAUCUAAAAACGAGUGAACACUUUUCUUGCAAAAGCUCAUCAUGAUAUAGUAAUUAUAUAAUAUUUUUGAGAAGUAAUUAUAUAGAAUUGUAAAUGGAUGAGCACAAAGGGAGAGAACCUCAAGGCAUGGAAGUGAGAAGUUAUAGAGAGUCUAGAGGGUAUUAAUAACAUCCUCACAACAAAGAUAGAGAGGGAGAGGGAGACUAGGCGGUAUGGUAUAGAGAGAGCCAGAGUGACAGAAGGGGGUACAAUGAUAGCUGGAUCAGUGAUAGAGGUAUCGGUUCCAAGUCCCGCGUAAGAUAUAUGGCCUAAGACUUCGUUCAGAUUUUGCCUUCUCCUCCCCCACUCUUCUUUGUUUUUUCGAUAGGGUUGCCAAUUUUGAAAGUGAUAUAUAUAUAUGGACAUGGUUGUGUUAGCUGCCCAAAAUAACGGUCGGCCUAAUCAUUUCCAAUGCAAGAGGAAACACCUCCAUCCAUAUCCCACGUUCUCAUUUAUGAAUUAAAUCUUAAAAGAAACUGUAGAAAAAAAAUAUAGUGUUAUGGCACCAAUUUGAAUACGGAUAUUUAUUAGUUGAAGUUUGAAAGGAUGGCCUUCGAUUUGAUGGGUGAAAAAUUGAGAGGAGAAUAUUCUUAUCAUCUAAAAUAAAAGAAUAUUAUCAUGGAUAUAUAUAUCACCCAAAAGAUCUAUCAACUAUGAAAUGAAUUAAUUAUGAAUUGUCGUGCUACAGGCAUCAAAUGGUUUGGGCUCACUGUUAUUAAUUCUUGCUUGGUUGAUAAUUCGGUGAUUUGUACCUGGAAUAUUUUGGUUAGGAUAUGUCUCAAAUUUAAUUUAUAAUUAAUUUGGUUAAACUUGAAUAUCGGUGAUGCUAAAAUCCAAUUUUUUUUAAUUAAAUUCAUGAUAAUUUAAAACUUUUCACAGCCUUAUCUGAUAUUUGAAUCUUUGUGGUGAAAAAAGAUCACACAUCUUCUUUGCUAUCACAACAUCCCUAAAUUAUUACCAAAACAUUUCUAAAAAAAAACGUCAUCUGUAUUUGCUUGGCUUAUCCAAACCAUGCAUGUACGUACAGACUAUCAAUGUCUCUCUUUAUCUCUGCUAUAUAACUAAUAAUGCCAAUGUCACUAUAGACCUCAGACAUUCACAGUCUUUGCCAAUAUAUAAUACACUUCCAUUGAGAUAUUUUUCUAUACAAAAAAACAUGGUUAGCUAGGAGAGAAAAAUUAGACUUCGCAGUUAGAGACUUUUUUUAUUAUUAUUGUUUUUUACUGGAUGUUUAUUCUUUAAAAAAAAAAAACAAAACAAAGACGUUCGUUAAUGUUACAAGUCCCAAUUAAUUAUAAAUAAACUAGUACGUAUUUGUCUUGAUCGACUUGUUGACAACUGUUAGUAGCUGAGAAUAUCUUGCAUUGAUCUUCCAAAUCCUUUCGUUAUGGAAGCACUGUGUAAUCCUUUAUUGCUGGAACUCUUCAAAAAAAUUUGUGAUUUUGAUGCCCAGUUCUAACAUUCAUCUUGUACCAUGUUUUUCGAGUCCCGUUUUAAAAAAUUUAAUUUUUUAUAUUUUUUUAAUACUUUUCAAUCAUUUGAAUACACAAAUAUCAAAACAGCUGUAUCUUUUGUCACCCAGUGUUUUUUUCUCUGUUGUUUGUUGAUAGAAUCACAAAAAGAAAUUUCCUUAUCUCUGAUCCAUUUAUGAGGAUGAAAUACCUUAUCUCUCAAGGAAUUAAUAUCAACCUUAUCUCUCUAGGAGUCUUCUUGACCGUCUUCAAGGCAACCAGGAAUCAACGACUGACAUGGUGUCAGAAUUCCUAGGAGUCUUCUUGAUAGAUCUCGACUCUUUAUAAAGAAACAUCAUUUCAUCAAACACAACAUGAUGUGACAUAAAAAAAAUCUCUACUCGUAGGCUUAAAGCAUUUAUGGCCUUUGUAUUUGUCCUUGUAUCCGAUAAAAACACAUGGAAUUGUCUUGGGAUCAAACUUAUUUUUUAUUACAUCAUAAUUUAAUAUAUCAACAAAUUUUAAGAGAUUAUUUUUUAUAUAAAUAAAGUUUGAAUCUAGAGUAUCUAAUAAAAUAACAACCAAAUAAAAUAUAAUAGAAAAACAUUUGAACAAGCAUAUAAUUCUCUCCUCGACAACACUAUUGUUCCUCAAAAACUCAUCAUGCUGCUAUCGCCAAUUCCAGCUUCCAAGUCAAGAUCUGGUUUGUGGUCAAGCGGUGGUUUGAGAAGAGUGUCUCUAGCCGUUUUCAGUUUGAGAAGAGACUCCCUCAUGUUAGUUCUCCGAUCAGGAGAAUCAACCGUACAGGAUAGCCCGACACCAAGGAUAGUAAUCAAGCAUUCAUGUGUUGGGCUCUUCCCUGUGAACAGCUCAGGGUCCACUACUUGUUCUAUGCUAGCAGGAAAAGCUGAUUCCACCCACUUGAUUAUGCUUGAACCUCCAGAAAAGAUUUCGUGUGUUGGGCUCUUCCCUGUGAACAGCUCCAGCAGCAUAACUCCAUAGCUGUAAACAUCUCCCCGGAGUUGAUGGCCGCAAUCCUAAACCAUAUUCUGCGAAGAACAUGUCCAGACAUCUCAAAUGCAAUAAACUAAAGGAACUGUAUAAACACAAGUGAUCUAUAGACACAAGUAAGAACAGAGGCGCAUGCAAGGAAACACACUGUUCAAACAACAAAUUUGAGAUUCCAAGAUCAAGUUAAUUUGCUAACCUGGAGGAAUGUAUCCUAUAGAGCCCCUGAGGCCACCUGUGCAAGUUAUUGGCUGUUGGUCAGCUCCUCUCUCUGCCAGCAAUUUAGGCAAACCGAAGUCUCCCACCUUUGCAGUCAUGUCUUUGUCAAAAAUCACAUUACUUGGUUUCAAAUCACAGUGCACUACUGGAAUUUCACAGUCAUGGUGCAGGUAAUCCACAGCGCAAGCAACAUCGAUUGCCACAUUUAACCUCUCCAAAAUAUUCAACAAGCCUCCAUCUAAUCGCCUUUUGCUUCCCUUGAUCCAUUCUUCCAAGCUCCCAUUACGCAUGUAAUCAUAAACCAAAGCCACAAAUUGGAAACCGUUCACAUCUGUACUUGAGCAUGAGGUGACGAGUUUAAUAAGAUUCCGAUGCCUUACGUUCUUCAAAGCCUCACAUUCAGCCAAAAAACUCUUCCAGGAUCCGUACUUCUCGAUGUCAAGCACCUUCACUGAAACAACAGUCCCAUCUCCAAGUUCACCUUUGUAGACUGACCCAAAACUGCCCUUCCCUAUCAGAUUUCCAGUGUCAAAACUCCCAGUUGCCUUGCGAAGUUCUCUAUAAGUGAUUGUGGGAUGCUGCAGCUUAAUUGAAUCUGCCCUUGGCAUAAUUUUCCCUUUUCUUUUUCUUACACACAGCAAAACUGCUAUCACUGUGCAUACUGCAACUGUGGCUAUGCUGGCAAUGACAACAUAAAUUGCAGUGGAUGUUCUUUUCUGAUGUUGAUUGUUCCAACAAGUUAAAUCCAGGCAGAGCUUCGUAUUCCCUUCCACGUGAAUUCUAGAGAGAUUUCCAAAGGCUCCAUCCUUAGGAAGAAGUCCUUCAAGGUCGUUGAAUGAGAGGUUCAACAAGUGAAGGGCCUGCAAGUUUUCAAGAUUAUUGGGUAUUAUGCCUGAUAUUUGGUUCGAAGAGAGGUCAAGGAUCUCCAAACCCUUCACGUCGCCUAGAGUAGCUGGAAUGACUCCAGAGAACAUAUUAUUUUCCAUGAAUAACUUCUCCAAACUCUUCCAGCUUCCAAUUGUAUCUGGGAUGCUUCCAGACAAAUGAUUGUGAGAAAAAUCAACAGCGGCAACAUUUUCGAGCCCCUUGAUCUCUUGAGGCAAAGAACCUGUUAGCUGGUUACUGGACAGGUUCAGAGUUGCACUCAAACUGGAGAGACCGAAAAUUUCUUUCGGUAUGCUGAUAUGGUCCCAGUCAGGAGCUAAUUUGUAAUAACAGAAUUCACACUGAUUCUCUUCGGGUGAGAACGUACCCAAGAUAAAUGUUGAUAGAAAAAUAUUGUAUAUCUCAUUUUCUUUCCCAGCCUUUUUAUAAGGCUUCGUUAGAACGGUUACAAUAUUUGAAUAACUGCAACAAUAAAACAUAAUAAAUGCUGAAUGGAAACUAAUCAAUAUUUCGGUUAUGCAGCCGAAAUAUAUAAGGAACCGUUAUAACGGUUACACUAUUUAAAUUAUUAGAACAUAAUAAAUACUGAAUGAAAACUGAAUAAAAAACUGAUGCUUAUCACUGCUUCAUAAUUAUCUGCCGUUCACGCCUUAAGUUGCUGUCAUCAAUCCUGCAUUAAGUUGCCUUUCACUGCACUUUACUAUACUUGGGGUUCGGUUUUGUUGCUCUUCCCGAUCUACGUGGUGGCUUAUCAUUACUCCCCCCAGAAAGUGGAACCUUGUCCUCAAGGUUCAAUUGAGGAAAUUGUUGACACAGAAACUCAGUCGGUUCCCACGUAGCAUCCUCUGUUGGUAAGUGUUUCCAUUGGACAAGACUUUCAGUAAUGAACUUACCACCCUGCUUCACCCAACGGUGAUCAAGCACAGCCGCAGGUUCCAAAAUAAUUGCACCGUCAUCUGAUACUGGUGGAAGAUCAGUUUGAGUGUUGGAAGCAUCCCCCACAUAUUUCUUUAAUAAGGAUAUAUGAAAAACAGGAUGAAUACGGACACCCUCAGGUAAUUGGAGUUUAUAAGCCACCUUACCCACCUUUUGGAGAAUAGGAUAAGGACCAAAAAACUUGCUGGCUAAUUUCUGAUGUGCCCGUUUAAAUGCUGAGCUUUGACGAUAAGGCUGUAAUCGGAGAAAAACCAUAUCACCUUCUGCAAAAGACAAAUCCCUCCGAUGUUUAUCUGCAGUUUGUUUCAUGCGAUUGAUGGCAGUGGCUAAAUUUUGUUUGAGCUGCAACAGAAGCUCAUCACGGUGGAGAAGUGUUUGGUCCACUUCGUGAACUGGUGUGGAACCCUCAAAAUAGUCUGGAAGAGUCGGUGGUGGACGCCCAUAAAGUGCCUGAUAUGGAGUCAUACCAGUGGAUGCAUGAAAAGUAGUAUUGUACCAUAGCUCCGCCCAAGGCAAGAAGGACUGCCAUUUACGUGGCCACUGAUGGACAAAGCUGCGUAAAUACUGUUCCAGACAUCGAUUGACUACCUCUGUUUGGCCAUCGGUUUGAGGGUGGUAUGCGGAGCUCAUUUUCAGUUUUGUGCCUGACAGUAAAAAAAAUUCUUGCCAAAAUCUGCUAAUAAAAAUGGGGUCACGGUCACUGAUGAUAGAUCUUGGCAUGCCAUGCAAUUUGACCACGCCCUCAACAAAUUUGUCGGCCACUACCUUAGCCGUGAAUGGAUGAGAUAAUGCCAUAAAGUGAGCAUAUUUACUUAGUCUAUCCACCACCACAAAAAUUGUAUCUUUACCUUGUGAAAGUGGCAGACCGGUAAUAAAAUCAAUAGUAAUAUCAUCCCAUACCUGACAUGGAAUAGACAAAGGUUGGAGUAGACCUGCCGGUGGUAAAGUUUCCGAUUUAGUUCUUUGGCAUGUGUCGCAGCUCUUCACGUACUCCUGAACUGAUUUGUGCAUGGAAGGCCAGUAGAACUGGGUGGCCACCUUUUUAAAGGUGCGUAAGAUGCCCGAAUGACCCCCUAUUUUAGUAUCAUGGGCUUCAUAAAUUAAUUUGUUGCGUAGAGUGACAUCAGAAGGAACCACAAUUCGGCCUUUAAAAAAAGAAUAAUCCAUUGCGUGCAGUAAAAGGUCCUUCGGGUUGAGUUUGAACCAGGUUGCGAAUAACAUAGUCAUCUGUAGUGGCUGCGUUUUUAAUUUCUUCCCAUAUCGCAAGCUGUGGCACGAACAAAUUGUGUAGUGUAGGACUGGCCGGUCGACGAGAAAGGGCAUCCGCAGCAGAGUUUUCACGUCCUGGCCGAUACUGAAUCUCAUAGUCAUACCCCAAUAAUUUAGCAACCCAUUUCUGCUGUUCUGGCGUAGUGAUUCGUUGUUCCAGAAGAUAUUUGAGGCUGCGCUGAUCGGUUUGAAUGAUGAAAUGUUGUCCUAGCAAGUAUGGGCGCCACAUGCGAAUGGCUUCCACCACUGCGAGCAUUUCCUUUGCAUAAGUAGACCAUUUUUGCGACACCAAGAGCUCGACUCAUAAAGGCAAUAGGCUUGCCUUGUUGUUGAGAACUGCCCCAAUUCCAUUACCUGAAGCGUCGGUUUCCACUAUGAAGGUGUCAUUAAAAUUAGGCAUGGCUAAGAUAGGCGUUGUUGUCAUGGCCUUCUUAAGUGUCUGAAAAGCUUCCUCUGCCUCCGUAUUCCAACCAAAAUGCCCCUUUUUGAGAAGAUUUGUAAGAGCCCGAGCAAUUAUACCAUAAUUCCGAACAAACUUGCGGUAAUAACCUGUCAACCCCAAAAAUCCACGCAGCUCGAAAUAUUAGCAGGUCGGGGCCAUGUCACCAUGGCUUCAAUUUUGUUGCUAUCGACCUUCACCCCUUGAUGAGAUACAAUAUGACCCAAAUAUUCAAGCUCUUGCUUACCGAAAGCACAUUUACUAGCCUUGAGAUAAAACUGUUGUUGCUUUAAAAUGUCCAAGGUUUGAGUGACAUGAUGUAAAUGCAUUUCCCAAGUAGGACUAUAAAUCAAGAUGUCAUCAAAAAAUACCAAUAUGAAUUUUCGUAAAUGGGGCCGAAAAAUUGCAUUCAUAAUAGCUUGGAAUGUAGAGGGUGCGUUACUCAAACCAAAGGGCAUAACAAGAUAUUCAUAAUGACCGUUGUGUGUACGAAAAGCAGUCUUAUGGAUAUCUGAAGGUUGCACUCGUACCUGAUGGUAGCCGGCUCGUAAAUCGAGCUUGGUGAAAUACGUUGCCCCAUGCAGUUCAUCCAACAUAUCUUCCACGGUAGGGAUUGGAAACCGAUCUUUGAUAGUGACUGCAUUAAGAGAUCGAUAAUCGGUGCAAAAGCGCCAACUACCAUCCUUUUUUUUAACUAGCAACACCGGAGAGGAGAAGGGGCUGGUGCUAGGUCUGAUGAGUCCAGAAUUCAGCAUUUCCUGGACUUGUUUUUCAAUCUCUGCCUUCUGGAAAUAAGCAUAACGAUAGGGUCGGACGUUGACUGGCUCAAUUCCUUCCUUGAGAGAAAUAGUGUGAUCAAUCUCACGUUUGGGUGGCAACUGUGUGGGUUCAUCGAAGAUCUCUGGAUAUUUAGCUAAGACCCGACACAUACUCGGUGACUGGCUCCCUUCUGUGUCCUGCAUGGUGGACUGUGGACAAAUUGCAAAUACUGAAUGGCCUUGACGCAGCUCUUUGGAAAUCUCCUUCAAGGACGCGGCUUGAAUAGGCUGAUCACAAAACCCCUGCAGCUGUCUGUCCACGUUCUUCCAAGAGAAUUUCAUGGUGAGAGUUCGCCAAUUGCAUAUAACAGACCCCAGCAUUUCCAACCAUUGUACCCCCAGAACAAUGUCCAAAUCUGCUAGAGGAAGUGAAUAAAGGGUAAGGGAAAAAGGAAUUUCCUGAAGAAGGAUCUGCACCUUUUCGAAUUUUCCUUGGCAUUGUAACCGUGCCCCAUUAGCCACCCGAACCGUAAAUGUCUCUGUUGGGACUACUGGAAGUCGUAGCCGAUCAGCCAUGCGAGUGCUUAUAAAAUUGUGGGUAGAACUACUGUCGAUUAACACCACUGCAUUGACGCACCCCACUUUGGCAUCUACACGCAUGGUUCUAGGUGCAGACCAUCCCGUUAAAGCAUGCAGAGUAAUCUCAGGUUCAUCAUUUUCCUUUGCCACCUCUUCUGCGUCAGCUUCUUCAGUGACUUCUUCAUACGUGAUUUCAUUGAAAUCGGUUGGGCCCUCCAGAAGCAAGAGUUGCAUUCCUUGGCAUUUAUGGCCGGCAGUGAACCUCUCAUUACAAUUAAAGCACAGUCCUUGGGCUCUACGUUUCUGCAUCUCUUCCCAUGGUAAUCUACGAAAGGGUGCAUUUGGUGUUGCACGUGUCGUUGUAGGUAGCGUCAGUGGCACUCGAUUUACUUGAGUUGGUCGCAGGAAUUGGCGAUGUCUUUUCAUCUAUUCGUCCUUCAUGCGGGCUAGGCUAAUAGCUUCCUUUAGUGACUGAGGCUUGAACAUACGAAUCCCUUCUGCAAUUUCCGGUUUAAGGCCUCCCAUGAACGUCCCAACCAAAGCUUUUUGGGACCAUCCACGAACUUUGUUCCCCAACUUCUCAAACUCACUCUGAUAGUCACGUAAAGAUCCCACCUGCUUUGUAUGUGAUAAAGCUUCAUCAAAAUCCUCACAGUCAGUGGGUCCGAAUCUCGCCCACAAUUCCUCUUCAAAGGCCUCCCAUGUCAUCGUUCGUCUUUCCUCCCUAUAUGUCCGACGAGCCCACUGCCACCACUGAUUUGCUUCUCCUUCCAGAUGGAAAGAAGCCAGUGAUAUCUUUUGGUUGGCUGGAGUAUUUUGAAACUCAAAGAACUGGUCCACCCGAUUAAACCAUUCUGUCGGAUCUUGUCCAGAAAAUCGUGGAAAUUCCAGCUUGGCCAUUUUAGAAGAAAAAAUUUGUCUGUUACCUUCGUUCUCCUCAUGCAUUGGACGAGAAUUUCUUUCUCGGUUUGUGUUGUUAUGGCUUGAUUCUCCCUUGUCUGAUAACAACGCCUUGCUGGAUAUCAACGCCUCUGACAGUUUAUUGAUCGUUUCUUCUAGCUGAUGCAUUUUUCCCGUCAUGCUCAUCUCCAUUCUCUGUACUCCUUCUUGUACUCCACCGAGCCCUGCCUCCAGCAUUUCAAUUCGUUCUUUGUUAGUCGUCAUUUAAACCAGCUCUGAUACCAAUUGAUAUGGUCCCAGUCAGGAGCUAAUUUGUAAUAACAGAAUUCACACUGAUUCUCUUCGGGUGAGAACGUACCCAAGAUAAAUGUUGAUAGAAAAAUAUUGUAUAUCUCAUUUUCUUUCCCAGCCUUUUUAUAAGGCUUCGUUAGAACGGUUACAAUAUUUGAAUAACUGCAACAAUAAAACAUAAUAAAUGCUGAAUGGAAAGUAAUCAAUAUUUCGGUUAUGCAGCCGAAAUAUAUAAGGAACCGUUAUAACGGUUACACUAUUUAAAUUAUUAGAACAUAAUAAAUACUGAAUGAAAACUGAAUAAAAAACUGAUGCUUAUCACUGCUUCAUAAUUAUCUGCCGUUCACGCCUUAAGUUGCUGUCAUCAAUCCUGCAUUAAGUUGCCUUUCACUGCACUUUACUUUGUGCUUGCCUUUCACUGCACUUUACUAUACUUGGGGUUCGGUUUUGUUGCUCUUCCCGAUCUACGUGGUGGCUUAUCAUAUGCUUCCGUUGAUCCUGUUGCUGGAUAGAUCCAUGGACACCAAUUGCUGGAAAUUAACAAAAGUUGUGGGCAGACUUCCUACCAAGUCGUUAGUAGAUAGAUCAAUUUCAUUCAGUUUUUGGAGCUUUCCAAGGGAGUUUGGAAUUCUGCCCGAUAUCUUAUUUGCAGCCAAAUGCAACUCUUGCAGAUUUGUAAGCUCGCCGAUUUCUGGUGGAAUUUCACCAGAAACAUAAUUAUAGCUUAUAUUUAGCAACGCCAAGCUUCUAAGAUGUCUGAUUGAGGCAGGUAUCCUUCCAUAUAUUCUAUUCCCUCCCAAGUAUAAACUUCUAAGAGAACCCGAGAGAUUUCCAAUGGAUUCCGGAAUGAGACCCUCCAGAAGAUUGCCAUCAAUGGCAAGAAAGUUAAAAUAGCUACUGUUUAUGAAAGAAGUGAGAAAAUUGAGACCCUCAUCACCAGAACUUUUUAUCUGAUUGUAGCCAAUGUUAUACAUUUGCAAUUCAGGAAGAUUUCCAAGUCCUGAUGGCACAUAUCCACUCAGAAGAUUGUGUGCCAUACGGAUGCUCUGUAUGUUUGUAAGAUUAUGCAAAGACCAUGGAAUUGAACCAGUAAAUUUGUUGAUGCAAAAAUUGAAGUUCAAAAGAUUUGGGAGUCUAUCUCCAACAUCAACUGGGAUUUCACCUCGCAGUUGGUUUGAUGCAACCGCGAGGAAAACCAAAGAAGAAAUGUUGUACAGGGAUACAGGAAUUCUGCUGCUCUGCUGAGCUGAAACAGCAGGCAUAACCUUGGCCAGUGAGGAGGUCUCAUCCCGCAAGAAAUUUGAAGUUUGCGUAAAGUUACAGUGAAGUGUAUGAAUAGCUUCGUUCCAAAGGAGGAAAUUACAUUAUCAGUUGCCUGGGGAUCCUUCUGCUCUUGUAGAGAUCUGAGCUUUAUAUGAACAACUCACACUUGACCAAAUUAUUAUUAUUAUUAUUAUUUACCUCUUCUUUCAAUUGAGUAUAAAUUUCUCUAGCAAUUGGCACUUCCGAAAGCUUUUUAAAAGACAGAAAUUACCCUUAAAGAUUCUCAUCAACUCUGUUGUGAAAAAUUCUGAGAAUUGAUAAAUCCUUUUAUCCUUUUUCUUUCUAAUUAGCCACCCUCCUGUCCUGUCUUGAUUUUUAUUUUAUAUUUUAAAACAUACAAAGAUAUCUUUUACUUUAAUUCUUUGUUUUUAGGGUUGAUAUUGUAAAAAUAUUAUUUAGUUCAUUCAUUUUAUUGCAAGUUCUAGAAUCAAGGCUAAAUGCUCAGAAUUCCACCAAUUUAUUGUAUGUAAUUCACUAUUUAUUUUAUAUUGAUAAAUUAAAAACAUACAAUAAUCUUAAGAGAAAAUUGUUGCUUAAAUUCAUGUUCAUUAAGAAAAUCAAAGAAAAAAUUAAUAUACUCAGUAAAACAGUGUUGUUAAGCUAAACACCAUCUUUAUGUUUUCGCUAUCACCGUGUUUUGUUCAGGGAUCUGAGUGAUUAAUGUUGAUUGUAUUUCUUCUAAUGUUCUUCCCUUCGUCUCUGGCAGCAACUUCCAUACGAAUAGAAUAGUUAAAGCACACAUUCCACUGAAGAUGAAGAAGGUCCCUGCAAGAAAUAUUAAUGAAAAAAUAUUGACCAAAGGAUUGUAUGAAGAUAGAUAUGGAGGGACCUUUGCUUUUAUGAAGAUAAAUGUGGAAAUGAGUAAAAAUAAUCGACUUAUUCGAGCACGAACGUGAAGGCCAUACCAUAACUUAUAAAGCAUUAAUUAUAUUUUAGUCAAUCUAGUUUAGUAAAACUAACUAAUCAGCCAUCUUAGUUUCAAAAACUAUAUAUUUAAUCCUUAUGCUCUUAAAUAAAUUUAUAACUUGAUUCUUCUCGUCCAUCUCACUUUCUUUUCCAAUUUAUUUUGAGUUUUUUUAUUUUAAGAACAAAAAAAAAAAGCAGAUAGAAUAAAAAAAAUGAUGAGCAUAGAAAACCAUUUUUUGAAUAAAAUACUACUAAAUUAGGCGUGGCUAUUUAAUAAUUUCUCAUGCUAUACUAUAAGGUCUAAUUAAUUUAUUGUGAUAAACUAUAAAGACUAAGUUGUAAUUAACUCGAAUUUAUAUUUAUAUAUAAGAAAUCUACAUAUUUAUAACCUUUUUUUUUUAACACAAAUCAAAAAUAAUUUGUGGAGUUUUUUUGUUUUCUUUUUUAAGAUUACCUUGAUUAAACUAAACUUGUUCCAUAAAUGUAAAAUAAUCUGUUUUUUUUUUCAUAGCCUAUAUCAUUUACUUAAUUUAAAUUGAUCAUGAAAAAUAUCACCUGAACCUUUAAUAAAAAUAGAUACAAAGGAUUGAAAAUUAUAAAUUCAAAUUGGUAUAAAAAUCAGGAAGCUUCCAUUUAAGCUGGGGUGGAUGGACUCUCCACCGAUCCAGGAAUUCGCGGAAAUUAUUAUAAAAUAUUAACUGUUUAAGAGUAAUCAAAAGCGGAUGGAGCUCAAAUGGUAGAGCGCUCGCUUUUCAUGCGAGAGUAUAGGGUUCGAUACCUUGCAUCUCCAUUUCUGUGUUUUUUUUUUUUUUUGCUUGAAUGGAGUAUUCAGCUAAAACAAUAUUGUGUUCUGGAAGACACUACUAUAAUUGGAGGGUUGAAGAAAUUCCAACUGCCAAGUGAAUUGGGGAAGCUGAGGACUUCAGUUUGUUUCCCUGUGAAAACAUGAACUCUUUACAGAGAAGUGAGGACAUCCGGAUUUACUACUAUAUUUUAAAAAGUAUUUUUAAAAAAAUUAAAUUUUUUUUUAUUAAUUUUAAAUUAAUAUAUUUUUAGUGUUUUUAAAUCAUUUUGAUGCAUUAAUAUCAAAAAUUAUUUUUUAAAAAAUAAAAAAACAUCAUUAAUAUAUAUUUUAGCAUGAAAAAAACAACCAUACGGACACUAACCAACUUAAAUAAGUCAGUGUUCAUACCUUCUACUUUGGGCAUUACCAGAGCUCAAGAAAUUCUAUCCAGGAAGACACCGACACAUUUGACAGAAAUUAUGUGUAUCACUGUGAAAAAUUGGAGGUAUUUGAUUCAGAACAUACAUAGGAACACAUCCUUUUCUCUUUUUUGUUUUCUCUGCUAUAAUCCAUUUCCAUCACAAGAUCUCAUUGGACGAAAUUUUAAACAACAAUUACAUAUGAUUCAAAAAGAGACCCACCUGUCUAUGCUGCAAUUAUUUUGUCUUCCAAAUACCAUUUGAAGUGAGACACUUUCUACAAUUAUUUUUAUUUAGAUUUUCUAAAUCUUGAAAAAUUUCACAUUCAGUAUAAUAAAAAAGAUAUAAUUUUUUUUUAUCUGGAUUGAAAGAGCUUUAUUAUUAAAAAAUAAUUAGCUUGCUAGCUGUUUUCAUUUUUAGAUUUAAAUUAAGCACUAUUUCAGAUUUUUUCCCACUCGUUUUAUGAAGGAAAGAUGCACUCUUUCAACUAUACAGAGAAUAAUCAUUUUCCUUUUUUCUUCUUUCAGCAUUAUAUUCCGGAGACCCCUUGAUGUUAAUUUGCUAUUCAUCUUGAUUGCUUUCUAUCUAUCUUUCUUUAUUUCUUUUGUUACUUUAUGCUUUUGAAAAGCUGUUUAAUAUUUAUGCUUUUCAUCUUGAUUGCUUUCUUUCUUUGUUUGUUACUCUAUGCUCUUGAAAAGCCUCUGCUUUGCUGCUUGUUUAUUAUUUGUGUUGUUUUUGCUUUAUUAAUAUUAGUAUUAUUUAGAUCUUUGUCUGCUAAUCAAUCCAUGCCUCUCCCUACUUAAUAUAAUCCACCAAUACCACUUUUUUCCCAGUUCUGAUCAGUCAAGAAAAAUUUCACAUUCAGUAAAAUAAAAAAGAUAUAUAUAUAUAUAUUUUUUAUCUGAUUACAAGAUUGAAAGAGCUUUAUUAUUAAAAACUAAUUAGCUUGCUAGCUUUUAACAGCAAACCAGUUGUUCCUCACUGUUUAUGGAUGUUGUGCACUUGCUGAUUCGGCAGAGUUCAAUCGGUUAGUUCUCCAAAGUGGGCCCCUAGUUCUGUAGCAAGUCAAGUUGUUCUUUAUGAAGGAAAGAUGCGCUCUUUCAACUAUACAGAGAAUAAUUAUUAAGCCAUCCACUGUUGCUCUUAUCCAUUCCCUUGCUUUCUCACUGCUGAUAAACCUCAGCUGUUUAUAAUCUGCAGUAAUAUUUGCACCUCUGCUCACUGGUCUGAAGUCACUGCUUUGUUGAUUAGCUGAAACCAAGAGGUAUGCUUGCUUAAAGACUUUUCCUUUUUUCUAAUUUUUAUCACUUGAUUUCAGAGACCCCUUGAUGUUAAUUUGAUUCCAGAGACCUCUUGAUGUUAAUUUUUAUCACUUGAUUCCCUUGCUUUCUCACUGCUGAUAAACCUCAUCUGUUUUUAAUCUCCAGUAAUAUUUGCACCUCUGCUCACUGGUCUGAAGUCACUGCUCUGUUGAUUAGCUGAAACCAAGAGGUAUGGUUGCUUAAGGACUUUUCCUUUUUUCUAUUUUUAUCACUUGAUUCCAGAGACCCCUUGAUGUUAAUUUGCUAUUCAUCUUGAUUGCUUUCUUUCUUGCUUUGUUACUUUAUGCUUUUGAAAAGCCUCUGCUUUGCUGCUUGUUUAUUAUUUGUGUUGUUUUUGCUUUAUUAAUGUUAGUUGACUUGCAACAAAGAAAUCCUUUUGCUGUUCAUUUCUGAUUUAGUUCCUGAAGAUUUGAAAAGUUUCCUUCUGAUUUAAUAUGUUCAUUGCAGUUCCUUGAUUGCUUGAUUCCAGACAAGAAGAAGAGUCAAGUUUCAUUGGACAUGGAAAUUGUGAUUUCUAUUGUAGCCAAAGUUGCUGAGCCGUUAGUUGUUCCCAUUAAGAGACAGAUUGGUUAUGUAAUUGAUUGUAAUACCAAUAUUCAGAACUUAAAAAAUGAAGUUGAGAAGCUGACAGAUGCAAAAACAAGGGUGAUUCAUUCUAUAGAGGAGGCUAGAAGGAAUGGGGAAGAGAUUGAAGUUGAUGUUGAGAACUGGCUGAGAAGUGUUGAUGGGGUCAUUGAAGGGGGAGGUGGUGUUGUUGGAGAUGAAUCAAGUAAGAAGUGCUUCAUGGGUUUGUGUCCUGAUCUAAAGAUACGCUAUCGGCUGGGUAAAGCAGCGAAGAAGGAGUUGACGGUUAUUGUUGAUCUCCAGGAAAAAGGGAAAUUUGAUGGAGUUUCAUACCGUCCUGCUCCAUCGGGUAUAGGGCCUGUCAAGGAUUAUGAGGCCUUUGAAUCAAGAGAUUCUGUAGUAAAUGCUAUUGUGGAUGCAUUGAAGUAUGGUGCCGUGAACAUGGUUGGGGUAUAUGGGAUGGGUGGUGUGGGGAAGACCACACUUGUGUUGAAGGUUGCUGAACAAGUCAAGGAGGGUAGGCUGUUCGAUAAGGUGGUUCUGGCACUUGUGUCACAGACUCCAGACAUCAGAAGAAUUCAAGGUGAAAUAGCAGACGGGCUAGGACUCAAAUUGGAUGCAGAGACUGAUAAAGGAAGGGCAAGUCAACUAUGCGAGGGAUUGAAGAAAGCGACUAUGCGAGUACUUGUAAUUCUUGAUGAUAUUUGGAAAGAACUUAAAUUGGAGGAUGUUGGAAUUCCUCACGAAGGAUGCAAGAUACUCAUGUCUUCAAGAGAUGAAUAUGUACUGUCUCGCGAGAUGGGGGCAAACAAAAAUUUCAAGCUUGAAGUUUUGCCAGAAAGCGAAGCGAGGGAUUUGUUCGAAAAGAUGGUGGGGGGUACUGUUAAAAAUCCUAGUGUACAGCCUGUUGCUGCUGAAGUAGCCAAAAGAUGCGCAGGUUUGCCGAUUUUACUUGCUACAGUUGCUAGGGCACUGAAAAACAAAGAGUUACAUGCUUGGAAGCACGCCUUGAAACAGCUAAAAGGUUUGGUAAAGAUGAAUUGACAAACGAGUUUACUCGUGUCUAGAACUGAGUUACCAAAAUUUGAGAGGUGAUGAAAUCAAGUCAUUGUUCUUGCUUUGUGGGCAAUUACGAUCUAAUAAUAUUUUAAUCUCAGACUUGUUAAGGUAUGGUAUAGGCUUGGAUUUGUUUAAGGGAUGUUCCACAUUGGAAGAAACAAGAAACAGUCUGCUUACAUUGGUGGAUGAGCUUAAAGCCUGUUGUUUGUUGCUAGAAGGUGACAAUGAUGGAAGCGUGAAAAUGCAUGAUGUUGUUCAUAGUUUUGCCAUCGAUGUUGCAUCAAGGGACCACCAUGUGCUUGCCGUGGCAGAUGAAUCAAAGAAUGGCCAACCAAUGAUGUGCUUCAACAGUAGUGGAAUCUCUUCGCUUACCGGAAAUUUGAUCUUCCUGCAAUAUUAGAAUGUCCAAAUCUCAGGUCGUUUAUACUGCUGAACAAGGAUCCCUCACUGCAAAUACCAGACAACUUUUUCAGAGAAAUGAAGGAACUUAAAAGUUUGAAUCUACAGAAGUUAAUCUUUCACCACUGCCUUCGUCACUUUCAAUUUCUUUGAGAACCUUCAAACGCUGUGUUGGAUCAUUGUGUUUUGGAAGAUAUAUCUAUAGUUGGAGAGCUAAAGAAGUUGCAAGUUCUGAGCUUAGUGAGUUCUAAUAUUGUUUGUUUGCCAAAGAGAAAUAGGAAAAUUGACUCGUCUGCUACUUCUAGAUUUGAGCAAUUGUGAAAGGCUUGAAGUAAUAUCACCAAAUGUCCUUUCUUCCUUGACCCGUCUAGAAGAAUUAUAUAUGGGAAACAGCUUUCUGAAAUGGGAGGCUGAAGGAUCAAGCAGUGAAAGAAACAAUGCUUGCCUGUCAGAAUUGAAGCUUCUGCAAACUUAAUUACCUUAGACAUGCAAAUUACAGAUGCAGAUCAUAUGCCCAAGGACUUGUUUUUGUGCUUUCGAAAGUUGGAAAGGUUCAGAAUAUUUAUUGGAGAUGGGUGGACUGGUCUGUUAAGAUGCAACCCCAAGAACUUUGAAACUCAAGCUCAAUACAGUUACUCAGUUGGAGGAGGGGGUGAACACGCUGCUGAAGAUCACUGAAGAACUUCAUUUGCAAGAACUGAAUGGUGUUAAGAGUAUCCUCAAUGACUUGGACGGGGAAGGUUUCUGUCAGCUGAAGCAUCUUCACGUCCAAAAUUGUCCUGGAGUUCAAUUUAUCAUCAACUCGAUGAGGAUGGGUCCUCGAACUGCUUUUCUGAACUUGGACUCACUGUUUCUUGAAAAUUUGGAUAACUUGGAGAAGAUCUGCCAUGGCCAACUUAUGGCAGAGUCGCUUGGAAACUUGAGAAUUUUGAAGGUAGAAAGGUGUCAUAGGUUGAAGAAUUUAUUUUCAGUCUCCAUGGCAAGAAGACUUGUGCGACUUGAAGAAAUCACAAUAAUUGAUUGCAAGAUCAUGGAAGAGGUUGUUGCUGAGGAAAGUGAGAAUGAUACUGCUGACGGUGAACCGAUAGAGUUCACUCAAUUACGUAGACUGACACUGCAACGUCUGCCUCAGUUCACAAGCUUUCACUCUAAUAGAAGGCAGAAGCUAUUAGCAAGUGAUGUGAGGUCAAAAGAAAUUGUUGCGGGGAAUGAGCUUGGGACUUCCAUGUCACUUUUCAAUACAAAGGUCUGGUUUGCUCUUUUAACAAGCCUAUUAUUUGUCGUUUUAACCUCAAAAAAUAAAACCCAUUCUCACGAGUAGACAAAUUAAGGGCUUUGAUUUAUUUUUUUUAUCUCGCUGAAAAAUAAAAAGAAGUUAAUAAAACAAAAUAUGUGCGUGCAGAUUUUAUUCCCCAAUUUGAAGGACCUGAAGCUCUUCUCCAUCAAAGUGGAAAAGAUAUGGCACGACCAACCUGCUGUGCAGCCUCCCUGUGUUAAAAACUUAGCAAGCAUUGAAAUAUGGUAUUGUAGUAAUUUAAACUAUUUAUUGACAUCUUCUAUGGUCGAAAGUCUUGCACAACUCGAAAGGCUUGAAAUAGGGAUAUGCGAGUCCAUGGAAGAAAUAGUUGUUCCAGAAGGAAUCGGAGAGGGCAAAAUGAUGCUAUUCCCUAAACUACACUCCGUAAUGCUCAAUGGUCUGCCGAAACUCACAAGAUUCUGCACCACUAACUUUUGAAUGCCACUCCCUGAAAGAGCUGUGGUUAGGGAAUUGCCCUGAACUGAAGGAAUUUAUUUCCAUCCCAUCAAGUGCGGAUGUCCCAGCCAUGAGCAAACCUGACAACACAAAAUCAGCUCUCUUCGAUGACAAGGUGAUUUUAUUUCAAAAGCAGGCUUAAUUUG
rnacentral:lncRNA from 1 species